CAAGUAGAACGCUGAAGGAGGAGCUUGCUUCUCCGGAUGAGUUGCGAACGGGUGAGUAACGCGUAGGUAACCUGCCUGGUAGCGGGGGAUAACUACUGGAAACGAUAGCUAAUACCGCAUAAGAGUAGAUGUUGCAUGACAUUUGCUUAAAAGGUGCAAUUGCAUCACUACCAGAUGGACCUGCGUUGUAUUAGCUAGUUGGUGGGGUAACGGCUCACCAAGGCGACGAUACAUAGCCGACCUGAGAGGGUGAUCGGCCACACUGGGACUGAGACACGGCCCAGACUCCUACGGGAGGCAGCAGUAGGGAAUCUUCGGCAAUGGACGGGAGUCUGACCGAGCAACGCCGCGUGAGUGAAGAAGGUUUUCGGAUCGUAAAGCUCUGUUGUAAGAGAAGAACGAGUGUGAGAGUGGAAAGUUCACACUGUGACGGUAUCUUACCAGAAAGGGACGGCUAACUACGUGCCAGCAGCCGCGGUAAUACGUAGGUCCCGAGCGUUGUCCGGAUUUACUGGGCGUAAAGCGAGCGCAGGCGGUUAGAUAAGUCUGAAGUUAAAGGCUGUGGCUUAACCAUAGUACGCUUUGGAAACUGUUUAACUUGAGUGCAAGAGGGGAGAGUGGAAUUCCAUGUGUAGCGGUGAAAUGCGUAGAUAUAUGGAGGAACACCGGUGGCGAAAGCGGCUCU
rnacentral:rRNA from 1 species